CUUCACCGACCCCAGCCACAACGGCCGGUCCGCUUCGCGGUCCUGGCCGUAGGUGGCGAUCAGCGCCUGGGCCUC
rnacentral:antisense_RNA from 2 species